rnacentral:rRNA from 1 species
UGGGGAAUAUUGGACAAUGGGCGAAAGCCUGAUCCAGCCAUGCCGCGUGUGUGAAGAAGGUCUUCGGAUUGUAAAGCACUUUAAGUUGGGAGGAAGGGCAUUAACCUAAUACGUUAGUGUUUUGACGUUACCGACAGAAUAAGCACCGGCUAACUCUGUGCCAGCAGCCGCGGUAAUACAGAGGGUGCAAGCGUUAAUCGGAAUUACUGGGCGUAAAGCGCGCGUAGGUGGUUUGUUAAGUUGGAUGUGAAAUCCCCGGGCUCAACCUGGGAACUGCAUUCAAAACUGACUGACUAGAGUAUGGUAGAGGGUGGUGGAAUUUCCUGUGUAGCGGUGAAAUGCGUAGAUAUAAGAAGGAACACCAGUGGCGAAGGCGACCACCUGGACUAAUACUGACACUGAGGUGCGAAAGCGUGGGGAGCAAACA